GCUGGGUGUGGUGGCACACGCCUGUAAUCCCAGGGCUGGGGAGGCUGAGGCAGGAGGAUCUCGAGUUCAAAGCCAGCCUCAGCAAUUUAGCGAGGUGCUGAGCAACUCAGCGAGACGCUGUCUCUC
rnacentral:sRNA from 1 species